UAGAGAGAACUCCGUGACACCACAUCAGUGAUCCGCUCUUAACUUAGGAACGGCUUACAGUGUUAAAAUAAAAAAAAAUUUAAAAAAUUUUUAAAAAAAAGGAAGGAAGGGGAAAAAAAAAAAAAAAAAAAAAAAGAAUAAAAACAUUGGCUCAGCUGGAAGCGUGAAUCGACAGCCUGGUGGGAAGGCAGGGCCAACCCAGGCAAAGCUCAGGUGUCAAGCGCAAUACAGAUUAGUGACGGGAAGGGGUGGAGCCAGGAUCCACCGCCUCGCAGAGCUCAUUUUAGGGUCGGCGGUGGAGGUGAGAGCAUCUUACUUGUGAUCGUGGUUCUGUAGAGGUUUUCUGAAGAGCAUGCAGUGCCAAAGAGCCAAUCGCUUCAGGGAUCAUCCCUCUUCCUCUUCACAUUCCCCAAGAUGAAAACCUUCAGCGGCAAACGAGCGAGGCCAACGCACAGAAAGAGACCGCACACCCACAUCUUUGUGAGGAUACAGAACCCAGCUUCUCCUCUCUCCAGCUCAUUCCUGCAGGACCAAGACCACCACCACCAAGGAGUCAUCACCACCCAGGAGCCACUCCAAGUCCCACAGAAGACCCCUUCACCAUGGAUGGGCCACCCCAUCACAGCCCCACUCAAGAGGAGCCCCAAGGGGGACAGGGGGACUUAGCCUCCCACCACACUCAGGGGGGCGGAGGGAGUCUCAAAGGGGGCAGGGGAGGGCCGAGGGAGGGGCUAAGGGGACAGGGGAGGGCAAGGGAGGGCUAAGGGGAGGGGCCCCAGGGGGGCAGGGGAGGGCUGAGGGAGGGGCCCCAAGGGGGCAAGGGGAGGGGCCCCGGGGGGAGGGCCGAGGGGCAGGGGAGGGGCCCCCAAGCGGGGCCCCCAAAAAAAAUGCCACUGACAUGCCCACCCUCCCGCCAAAAAAAAAAAUAUAUCUCUUUAGAGAUAGUGCAAAAUCCGGCCUCCAGCACCAUUACAAGGGGGAGAACACAACUCAGGCUGAGUCUAGACUCAGCCUGAGUUGUGUUCUCCCCCAGAAAAAAAAAACAAGAAAAACUUAGAAAAUAAAAAUAAAUUUUAAAAACUUAAACA
rnacentral:lncRNA from 1 species